rnacentral:tRNA from 1 species
GGUCCUAUAGCUCAGUGGUAGAGCAUACGAUUGCAGAUCGUGCGGUCGCGUGUUCGAACCACGCUGGGACCU